AUAAAAGUUUUAUCCUGGCUAAUAAAUUCUUAUUUUUAGGUUAAGAGUACAUGAAAGAUUUAACGUGACAAAAAGCUUAUUUGGUUUAAUACUAAAGAGUUAUUAAAAUAGAGGAAUCAAUAAAAAAUUAAUUCUCAGUAUUUAGUGCUAAUUAAUAGAUGAAAGUCAGAAUUGGUAAUCCUAAUAUUAUACCUGGCUAAAAUUUGUGCCAGCAGCCGCGGUUAUACUGAGAGGUAAAUUAAGAAAAGUUCGGUUAAAAAUAAUUAAGUGACUUACAAAAUUAAUUUAAAGGUUCGUAUUGAUAAAGGGUGAAAUCAGUUUUUUAGUGUGCGAAAUGUUAAAUAAUUAGUUGGUGCUGAAGUUGUUAAGGUAUGGGGAUGGACCAGGAUUAGAUACCCUGUUACUCUUUAUUUUAAAUUUAUAAUUACCGGGGUAAUAAACAGUUAUUGUCUUGAAACUCAAAGGAUUUGGCGGUAAUUUAGUCUAUUUAGAGGAACCUGUCCUAUAAUCGAUAGUCCACGAAUAAUCUUACCUUGUUUAGUAUAAAAUCAGCUUGUAUACCGUCAUUAUUAGAUAACUUUAAUAAAAUUUUUAGUUGUUACAAUAAUUGUUUUAAUAUAUUAGAUCAAGGUGCAGUCAAUAAUAAGGAAGAGAUGGGUUACAAUAUAAUAUAUUUAUACGGAUUAAAGUUUUAAAAGUUUUAUGAAGGUGGAUUUAAUAGUAAGAAGAAUUUAAUAAGUUUUUCUGAUUUUAGCUCUAUAUUAUGUACACAUCGCCCGUCGCUCUCGUUAAUUAAAGCGAGAUAAGUCGUAACAUAGUAGGUGUACUGGAAAGUGUACCUAGAAAUU
rnacentral:ncRNA from 1 species